GAAUCUGUCGUCAUCUUCCUCAGCAUUCUAUUCGGCGAAUCAGUCGCCCUUCUUCUCUCCAAGAUCAUCCUGUCAAUCAUCUACUCGCUCCGAAAUUCUAUGUGAUGGUACGAAAGCAAAUAUUGAAUUUUAUUGUUUCAUUUUUGGCCUUAAGAUCACAAAUCUCAUAAAUGUCAGGUCUGCCUUUUCAGCUGUCUCUUCGGUCUCUGCAGCUUGUACAUCAAGUGAUUUUCAGAAGUUUGAUCUCAUUUCUUCCUCAACUGGCAUCUCCAACAGCAACCUAUCUAUUCACAGCACUGGUCCUGGAAAUGAUCAUUCCUGGCAUAGAGAAAAGCAUAAAAAUACUGGG
rnacentral:lncRNA from 1 species